AGAAACAGGCAGCCUGACUAGAGAACAAACUACCAAUUAACGAGCGAGGAAACAGGGCCAGAGAAUUGGAACAAAAUACAAGGCUGCCUCUGAAAGGAAUAUCUUUGUGCUGAUGUGUCCAUCAAGAGAACAUACACAGAAGUGACACUUGCCAGUAAUUUGCAAGCAGAUGGAACUUCAAUAUGGCAAUAGAGAAAGAAUCAAUUAGACCAGAGUCUCCUCAGGAAGACUUUCUAUAGCGUAAUUAUCUCUCCAAUUAAAGAGCAACCAAGGGACAACUGAACUGGAGGUUCUGCAGAAUUACAACUAAGCACGCAGCCGAGGAAUCUACUCAGCUUUGAUCUCUUAUCGCUCUGCACACACAGCCCUUUCUCUGUAAGGCUAGCUGCUCUCAGCAUCACUGUGUCUAAUCAAACGUGUCACACCUCCACUGAGAAAAUAUUUACUGGAUAGCUACUAGACAUAAGGAUGCAGAAAUGAAUUAGAAAAAUUCCUCGCCCUUGUUCAAAGCUAUGCUGGCUCUUAGAACAUCUGAGCCCCCACUGUUUCAUCUUUAGAGGAUCCCAGCUGCUGGGGUGUGAGGCCAGUGCUGGAGCCAGCAGUCUCUGACCCAGAAGGGACCUGAGGUGCUAAAGAAAAGGGUACAAGCUGGAAAAGGGGAAAAUGAAUCAUGCUACAGGCCAAGUGUCCAUCACUGAUUCCCAGAGAUGCCCUUUGUGUGGUAGGCACUUCCAUGUGGACUCGCUACAGAGGUCAUAAGACCCUAAUUCCAGAGGGCCCUACCCUAUAACCAGAAGGAAGAACUAUUGCACAGAGAAUCUAAGAAGAAUCUAGACAGACAGCCCUUGCUGGAUUUCUCCACUCUGUUAGCAUUCGAUCAUUUGCCUUUUGUCCAGUCAUAUUUCUGCAUGGCUGUCCAUACUUUGUUGAACCUAAGCACAAAAUGGAAAGUUUUCCCUGUAUCUUUGGGUCGUCAUUCUGAAGGCUCCCAUGUUAUGUAAAACUAUGAUCAAAUAAAUAUGCAUGCCUUUUCUCCUAUAA
rnacentral:lncRNA from 1 species